rnacentral:rRNA from 1 species
ACGUAGGGGGCGAGCGUUGUCCGGAGUUACUGGGCGUAAAGCGCCCGCAGGCGGUGGAGCGCGUUGGGGGUGACAGUCGGCGGCUUAACUGCCGGAGGACUCCCAAGACGGUUUCACUUGAGGGCCUUAGAGGGACAUGGAAUUCCGGGUGGAGCGGUGAAAUGCGUAGAGAUCCGGAGGAACACCAAAGGCGAAGGCAGUGUCCUGGGAGGCACCUGACGCUCGGGGGCGAAAGCCAGGGGAGCGAACGGGAUUAGAUACCCCGGUAGUCCUGGCCGUAAACGAUGACCACUAGGUGUGCGGCGUAUCGACCCGCUGCGUGCCGACGCAAACGCAAUAAGUGGUCCGCCUGGGGAGUACGGUCGCAAGAUUA